rnacentral:lncRNA from 1 species
GUAAUCAUAACAACCCUUUCUUCCCCAACUUGCUUUUCGGUCAUGGUGUUUCAUGUAGCAAUAGAAACCCUAACUAAGACAACUGCCAAGUUGUUAGAAGCCAGAAGAGAGGCACAGGAAGUAUUGCCAGCCUUAGUCUUGUGGAGUUCCUGCCUCUAGAGCUUUGAACCACUGUGGUACUAGGUUUGUUAGCCCUGGAAACUCACUGUGGUGGGCCCUGGCUGGUUUUAUGUCAACUUGACUUCACAAACUAGAAGGGGAACCUCCCUUGAGAACCUCUCUGUGGGACAGUCUUUUUUUUUUUUUUUUAAGAUCUUACAUAUUUAAUACAGUGUGUUACCCCUGUACAAAUGGAAAAAACUUAAGUUCAACAUUUCUAGACCAAUAUGGCUGUUAAUUUCUGUACAGUGCCAACUCAACACAGUAAACGGGGAUACUUUUUUCCAAAGUUGACAGCACAGCUAAAGUUUCAAAAAAUUCAAAUUAUAUAUCUGUAUAUAUAUAUUUAUAUUUAUAUAAAAAGAGCAAUAAUAGCAGUGUGUUAUGCAUCAACAGCUUUUCCAGGUUCUGCAGUCAUCUGAACAAAACUGUAGAGACAUCCAGCACACUCCAUU